UUUCUUUUAAAUUGUUUUCCUCUCCCUGUCUAGCGGCGCCAAAAGAUUACUGUGAGGCAAAGAAAUGGUGAGCUUGUCACAGGACUUUUGAGCGUUGCUAGUUAUAGAGGAU
rnacentral:pre_miRNA from 16 species